rnacentral:rRNA from 1 species
GACGAACGCUGGCGGCGUGCCUAAUACAUGCAAGUCGAGCGAAUCGAUAGGAGCUUGCUCCUGUUGGUUAGCGGCGGACGGGUGAGUAACACGUGGGCAACCUGCCUGUAAGACUGGGAUAACACCGGGAAACCGGUGCUAAUACCGGAUAAUCCUUUUUCUCUCAUGAGGAAAAGCUGAAAGUCGGUUUCGGCUGACACUUACAGAUGGGCCCGCGGCGCCUUAGCUAGUUGGUGAGGUAACGGCUCACCAAGGCGACGAUGCGUAGCCGACCUGAGAGGGUGAUCGGCCACACUGGGACUGAGACACGGCCCAGACUCCUACGGGAGGCAGCAGUAGGGAAUCUUCCACAAUGGACGAAAGUCUGAUGGAGCAACGCCGCGUGAGCGAUGAAGGCCUUCGGGUCGUAAAGCUCUGUUGUUAGGGAAGAACAAGUACCGGAGUAACUGCCGGUACCUUGACGGUACCUAACCAGAAAGCCACGGCUAACUACGUGCCAGCCGCCGCCGUAAAAC